GAUGAACGCUAGCGGCAGGCCUAACACAUGCAAGUCGAGGGAGAAGCCCUUUCGGGGGCAGAAACCGGCGCACGGGUGCGUAACGCGUAUGCAACCUACCUUUCACAGGGGGAUAGCCCGAAGAAAUUUGGAUUAAUACCCCAUAAUAUUAUUGGAUGGCAUCAUUUGAUAAUUAAAACUGCGGUGGUGAAAGAUGGGCAUGCGUCCUAUUAGCUAGUUGGAGUGGUAACGGCACCCCAAGGCUACGAUAGGUAGGGGUCCUGAGAGGGAGAUCCCCCACACUGGUACUGAGACAGGGACCAGACUCCUACGGGAGGCAGCAGUGAGGAAUAUUGGUCAAUGGUCGGAAGACUGAACCAGCCAUGCCGCGUGCAGGAAGAAUGCCUUAUGGGUUGUAAACUGCUUUUAUAUGGGAAGAAUAAGGCGUACGUGGACGUUGAUGACGGUACCAUAUGAAUAAGCAUCGGCUAACUCCGU
rnacentral:rRNA from 1 species